GUGCAGCUGCUGGAGGCUUUGAAAAUGUUUCUGCUGACACUGAAUAUGCUCUGCAGCUCAGCCUCUCUGCAUCAUUCUUGGACAAUGAGGAGUAAAAAAAGCAUGAAACAAGUUGUGUUAUAGACUUAAUUGGAGCCUUCCUCCACCCAGACAGCAGAAUACCGGGCUUAGAGAAAUCUGGGAUGAGAAGACAGGAUUCGUGAAACUUUCCCAUAGUUCCUUUCGGAGUUUGGAAAUCAAAGGUCAUAUUUAUAUGGACUUCUGAUCCUUAACUGAAAACUAGUUAAAUAUCAUAAAUUUCUAAUCUGUAAGGCCACAUUCAUCUCACUGCAUCCAGAAUUUACUCUUAUGUCCCAGAUCCAGAAUUCUUGGUUUCAUCAGGUGCUGGAGCAAGAUUUAGGUGUCAUUAAAUUCCACUCAUUCUCACAUACCUUUGCCGUCAUGCAAAAAAAAAUGGGAGUACAUGCAGGGGACAGGAGUCAAUGAAUAUCAUCUGGAAACUUGCAUCUAAACACAGAUUUUAUGUCCACUUGUGGCAUAUGGGAUGGUCUUGAUGAUAUGAAGAGCAAAUCAAGGGGGAAAAGCAAGGAGAGAACAGGAUCAUAGCAAAGACCAGAAUGCCUCUUUUGCACUCACUAACUGACUGGGUACUGGUGGUUUUCACUGUGAUCAUUGUGUCUGCAACUAACAUGAGAUAACUGCAAUUUUUUUCUUAAAGGUAAAAUAGAUUUGAAAGAAAUGCCUGUAAUGAAUGAGGAUGUAAAAUGCUGACAUACAAUAGACCCCUUCCCUUUUCAGAGUAAGUCUAGUGAUGGGAAGAUGGGAAUGGUUACUUUCAGCUCCUGAAAACUGCAGUCUUUGUUAACCAAAAUACAGGAAGCUCUCUGCGAUGUAAGAGAUCAAGAAAAAAAUUGUAGAACAUUUCUGUCCUGAUACUGAAUCUCUGAAGAAGCCAUAAUACAACAAAAGGAGCGUUCUUCGGUAAGCAACUUGCCUUCAACAUUUGUGAAGUGGAAACAGCACCAAUUUCCGUACAUUGUAUCCUAUCCCACAAUCUUACUCCAGUCAGGUCCAGCUGGAAGAAUAUCAAAGUUUGUUUCAGGAAAGACUGGACAAAUUUUGCCCUCAGGCCUUAUGCACUUCUGUGGGAAGAAGAAGGUGGCACAGGAAGCAGAAUUACUCUGUCAUUUCAUAUUCAUGCUGAGCCAAUCAUCACAGUAUCAGAACACUUUCUCAAAUUAAGAUUUAAACAAAGAUGAACGUCUGUCAUAUGAAAUGUCCUCUCUGUUCCUCUCCCACCAUGAAGAGAUGUGAAUGUUUUGUGGGAGGGAUGUUGUGAUAU
rnacentral:lncRNA from 1 species